UUUAAUUCAUGAAGUGAAAGAGCAAACGUGAAAGAAGGAAAGAAGACAAAGAUUUGACUAUGCAAUUGUUGGUUGUGGCAUGUUUGUCCCUUGCAGCCAAAAUGGAGGAGAUUAAUGUCCCAAUCUCCCUUCAUUUACAGGAAUUGACUUCUUGGAAUUUAAACAUUAAGAGGUUGCAGCAGCAGUGGCCAUUUCUGUAACAGGAGGAAGCAAAGCAUUAGAUCACACUUAGAAUUCAAUCUCUGUGCUUAUCCAACAAGUGGACUUAGAAGAGUUGCAUGAGUCAUUGAUGUCUUUUGCUUUUGCUCUUAUCAUUUUGGUGUUGAUUACAAAUUUACCCAAUCACAUACAAACAUCAAACAUGAUUACUGCAGACAUUGAUUUUAUUUUUUCUUUUGGUUUUUA